rnacentral:rRNA from 1 species
UACGAAGGGGGCUAGCGUUGCUCGGAAUCACUGGGCGUAAAGGGUGCGUAGGCGGGUCUUUUAAGUCAGGGGUGAAAUCCUGGAGCUCAACUCUAGAACUGCCUUUGAUACUGAAGAUCUUGAGUUCGGGAGAGGUGAGUGGAACUGCGAGUGUAGAGGUGAAAUUCGUAGAUAUUCGGAAGAACACCAGUGGCGAAGGCGGCUCACUGGACCGGUAUUGACGCUGAGGUGCGAAAGCGUGGGGAGCAAACAGG